rnacentral:rRNA from 1 species
UGGGGAAUAUUGCACAAUGGGGGGAACCCUGAUGCAGCCAUGCCGCGUGAAUGAAGAAGGCCUUCGGGUUGUAAAGUUCUUUCGGUGACGAGGAAGGUUGAUAGGUUAAUAGCCUAUCAAAUUGACGUUAAUCACAGAAGAAGCACCGGCUAACUCCGUGCCAGCAGCCGCGGUAAUACGGGGGGUGCGAGCGUUAAUCGGAAUAACUGGGCGUAAAGGGCACGCAGGCGGUGACUUAAGUGAGAUGUGAAAGCCCCGAGCUUAACUUGGGAAUUGCAUUUCAUACUGGGUCGCUAGAGUACUUUAGGGAGGGGUAGAAUUCCACGUGUAGCGGUGAAAUGCGUAGAGAUGUGGAGGAAUACCGAGGGCGAAGGCAGCCCCUUGGGAAUGUACUGGCGCUCAUGUGCGAAAGCAUGGGGAGCAAACAGGAUUAGAUACCCUGGUAGUCCACGCUGUAAACGAUGUCGAUUUGGGGAUUGGGCUUUGAGCUUGGUGCCCGUAGCUAACGUGAUAAAUCGACCGCCUGGGGAGUACGGCCGCAAGGUUA